CUCAUGCGGGUUUCAUUCACACGUUUAACCUUUCCAAAGAAAUCUUCUGAACCCAUCAAAAGUUAAAUGAAACUCAUCGUGGUUUCAAUCACACAAAUUAACCCACAGUUAAAGAUGAACCAAUCAAUGUCCACACCAGAUACUGGAGCCCCGGAGAAGCAAACGGGAAAAAGCAUGCUGGGAGAAUCCUUUGUUGCUAAAGAAUAAAGCAUUUUGCAGUCAGGUC